rnacentral:rRNA from 1 species
AACAAACGCUGGCGGCGUGCCUAACACAUGCAAGUCGAACGUGAAAGUUGGCUUCGGCCGAUGAGUAAAGUGGCGCACGGGUGAGUAACGCGUGGAUAAUCUGCCCUUCAGUUGGGAAUAACUCAUCGAAAGGUGAGCUAAUACCGAAUAAUACUGCUUGACCAUGGUCAGGUAGUCAAAGAUAGCCUCUGCUUGCAAGCUUUCGCUGAAAGAUGAGUCCGCGUACCAUUAGCUAGUUGGUGGGGUAAUGGCCUACCAAGGCGACGAUGGUUAGCUGGUCUGAGAGGAUGAUCAGCCACACUGGAACUGAGACACGGUCCAGACUCCUACGGGAGGCAGCAGUGAGGAAUCUUGCGCAAUGGGGGAAACCCUGACGCAGCAACGCCGCGUGAGUGAGGAAGGUCUUCGGAUCGUAAAGCUCUGUCGGGUGGAAAGAAAUGUAUGGGGUUAAUAGCUUCAUACUUGACGGUACCACCAAAGGAAGACG